GAAAAUUGACAUUCUUUUACAAAUAGAAUUUACAUUACAGGUCAAGGUCAGUAUAUAAAAUAUUCUGAAAGCCCAUUCACAAGCCAUCACCAUAAAGGCCCAAAUUUCAUGAUGCAGUACACAAUCUAUUUAGACAGUUUUCCCAUGUAAAUUGAUUAUAGCACACAACCGUUGUUCACUCAUCACGUGGAUUCAUGGAUUUCUCAUAGUUGGCACUGAUGUGUAUGCAGCCACAUCUAUUGUAAGAGACUGAUCCAAAUAUUUGAUACAAAAAUCUAUCAAUUCAGACAACAUAUUCACAUCAAUCUAGGCUAGCUAAAAUAACAAAAUGAGACAUCUAGGCUCUGGCCUGCCUUAGUAAGUGCUAGGCAACUUAUUUGGUUAAUCCAAAUGCUAAAUUCAUCAGAUUAAGCUCCAAUCAUUCUUGACUCAUGCUAAGCCCAGGUUUUUCUUCCACCAUGAUAAAGUUCUUGAGAAAUUCAUCAACCGUACAGCCUAAUGUCCUAAACAGCAAGCUAUACUGCAAAUGGACAUAAUCAGAGUCGUUCAGCAUGACCUUGGAUAUGAGGGACAACUAUUUCCUUAAUCCAAUUGAUAAAA
rnacentral:misc_RNA from 1 species